UUUAGCAGUGAGUGAAGCACGACUGUCCCAUUCUACUGAUAGGUGGGGAGGUGGACAGAUCAGCAAAAUGUGCAUCAGAUGGAGCCACCGAUUAUGAAGAAAGCGAAUACUCAAGAACAGACAUUCAGCUUUUCUGGGCUCAGGGUCUAGAAAGACCAUCCAGGAACAUUCUCCUUACCUCCAGUUAGAGGACAGAAAGGAACACUGUUCAAGUCUACUUAGAACACCACAAAGAUGGUCAUCCUCAAAGGGGUCCAUGACGAUGAUCAAUUUCAGGCCUGGAAUGAGGUUCUUCUUCAUAUUCUCUAUCAGGAUAGAUGCCUUUUCAGGAGUGUCACAGAUCACCGUGGAGAUAUUAGCUGGAAGCAGAAACAGAGCCAGGGGUCACCUUCAUGCCCUGCCAGGAACCUGACUGCCUUGCAACAAGGAAGAGAUCUGUGAAAACUUCAAAGCUAGUGGGUACCCAAAGGAGACUACGUCUGCAAAUCAGAUUCAUAAUGCAGAAAACCUGAAGCAUUCCAUCGAUAAUAAAUGAGCUUCAUUGAAACCA